AACAUCUUUUUUGUACACAGCAUGUAACAUGUUUUGUGGAUAUGAUUGAUUAAGUAUUUGUAUCUGUGCUGAGUGUUCCUGUGAAGAAAAACAGAAAGUGAUGCAGUUUCAGUUUCAGUUGGCAUUAGAAAACAUAAUUCUACAUUUUCAUGAGGGGCAAGCUAUAAGCUGUUCUACUGUGGUGGAUAAGGUGCUUCAGAUAAUCAUUUCUCACUUGUAUGCCUUAAAAUAAAAUACUUAAAAUCAACCACAAAUAAAACUAUAGCCUAAUAGAAAGCAUAAAUCUCUCAGCAUGCUUUAAAGACAUGCUGGCGAGUGAAGUCAAAGUAGGUGAAACUCCCUCUUCCUUUAUGAUCAUUCCUGAAAAUGGAACCUUAGCGAAGUGUGGCAUUUUCUGCAGGAUCUCCCUGACUGGGUAAAUGCACGGCAGGCUGUCUGCCUCAUACACAAACUUCUGCAAGCGUGAAAAGAAAAGAGAGAAGUUAUGAGCUCUCUUAACUGUCUACCUACAACAAGGAGGUCUAUAAUACCUUGAGAAAGUUAUUCCCAAUCAUCUCAAUGGCAGUUGCUUGGCUGGUGCACGAAUCACACUGAAAAUACAGGAAUCUGCCAUUUUUGGUAAUGGUUGGUUCAUCAUUUAAUAUUAACCUCAAAGGAAAGAAAAAAACUAAAACUAAAAGUCAGCAAAAUUAUUACUCCAUUGAUCCUCCUGCAUGUUUAUUGUAAGAGUAACCUUUAGGCUAUUUUUAGGAUUUUAAGCCGAUUUACCAAGCAAAACUGCUAAAACAAAUUUAUGAAGGAGAUUUCCAUAUAAUACUGGAAAUAUUUUAUCAAGUCCUGUUUCCAAUAUUUUUUGUUUAUUUGCGGUUUAGAAUCAGAAUUAACGAUGCCUGAUUCGUGAAUGAACUCUUUUGAAUCGGUUCUCAUUUGAAACGUCAACGUGGAUUUACAAUGAUUGAACUAACUCAAAGACUGAAUCUUUUGGAGCGGUUUAUCGCUGUGUGAAACAGUAGAUUUAUCGUAAAACAGAAUGCUUUGCAUAAACAGCGGUGGACUAAAUUGAUAUUAACCAAACCAUCCUAUCGUUAUCGUUUAUUGCAGCGACGAGGAAGAUAAACAAGUGCAGCCUGUGAACGACUCUACUUCAGGAGUGGCUUAAGUGUCUGAACACUUUAUGAGGCCAUUGCAUAAGGACCUGUUGAAGAGUUUCACACACACACAGACAGAGAAAGAGAUGAUGUGACUGCAUGAGGAGCUCUGAUAGUCCGCCUACUGCUACACCAAUGAACUAAUCCACCACCUCUCCUGAUUGUUUAUGUACUUGGAGACACCAUGGAGACAGCAGCAUCAGUGAAGAGCAAGCUUGAGAUGAAAUGUAAGAUGUGACUGGAAUGAAAAAUCAAGGAGCUUGAAAGUCUUUGGUCCCCAUCCGUAUUGUGUGGAAAAGAGCAGCAUGAUCAUUCUUGAAAACAUCUCCUUUUGUGUUCCACAGAUGAAAGAAAGUUGUACAGGUUUGAGGGAGCUUAAUAGUCUUUGGUUCCCAUCCACUUCAACUGUAUGGAAAAAAGCAGCAUGAUCAUUCUUUGAAACUUCUACUUUUGUGUUCCACAGAUGAAAGAAAGUUGAACAGGUUUAAGGGAAAAAAAUCCACCUUCCUGUUGGGAAAUAAUGCAACUGAAUGACACUUGAAGACUGCACAAACAUGGCAGCACCCGGAGAGAUAAUAAAUUGAUGAUAAAUGUUGACUUUCAAGCAAAUAAAAUGCAUCACUGAGUCAAAUUUCCAACAUGAGUUGGUAAUAAAACCAGGUGGGUAAAAAAUGGUAAAUGGUCCUGUUGAUAAUCACAAAUGCUAGCAUCGCAGUUGAUGUCGCUCUGUUGAUAAUCAAACCUGCAAAGCUAAUGUUAGCAAAUCUUUUUUGAUUCCUUAAAAAAAAAAAAUUGGGCGAUGGAACAACUUCAUGGUUGGAAUAUGUUGGAAUAUUUUAAAUGGUACACAGUACAGGUAGAGCAACAUGAUAUUUAACUGAAAAUAACCUACUUUUCAUUAUCCAAUCAAAUUCUGUCCACUGAAUAUUCUGUUUUAUUCAGUAAAGAAGUUAAAUGUUUUGCAGAAUGCCAUUUUAUGUGUCCUUUAAGAGAUUUCGACUGGAAAAGGAAGAAAAAGAGGGUCAUGCACCCACACCACCAGGCUCAAAUCUCCAAAACGACACACACCCACAUGAGUAAUAGAGCGUUCCUCUGUUGUGAUAUAAUAGCAUGUUGUACAACACUGAGUCAAUGUUAGGGAUGGACCUGAAGAGGAUUAGUUUGGCUCAGCCAGCGAACUGUACAUUAACAGAUAGAUCAGAGAUCCCUGAGGCUUCCGAAAGCCGCUGUGCUGAUGGCUCGGCCCUGUCUGCAUGGCCUAAUUCACUAUGAUGCGUAUUGAUUAAGUGUGCAGUGGAAAUACUCAUUCCUCUGAAGCAAACAUUCACACUCAGUUUGUUAUCCUGAGCUUAUAUUUUUGUUUUGAAAUAAAUAAAGUUUCUCUUGAGAAUUUGAAGAAAAAA